AAUCUUCCACAAUGGGCGAAAGCCUGAUGGAGCAACGCCGCGUGAGUGAAUAAGGAUUUCUGAUCGUAAAACACGGUUGUAUGGGAAGAACAAGUACGGCAGUAACUGCCGGUAACUUGUCGGUACCCUACUAGAAAGCCACGGCGAACAACGUGCCAUCAGCCGCGGUAAUACGUAGGUGGCAAGCGUUGUCCGGAAUUAUUGGGCGUAAAGCGCGCGCAGGCGGUCCUUUAAGUCUGAUGUGAAAGCCCACGGCUCCACCGUAGAGGGUCAUUGGAAACUGGGGGACUUGAGUGCAGAAGAGGAAAAUGGAAUUCCAAGUGUAGCGGUGAAAUGCGUAGAGAUUUGGAGGAACACCAGUGGCGAAGGCGACUUUCUGGUCUGUAACUGACGCUGAGGCGCGAAAGCGUGGGGAGCAAACAGG
rnacentral:rRNA from 1 species